UACAGAGGGGGCGAGCGUUAUUCGGAUUUAUUGGGUUUAAAGGGUGCGUAGGCGGCUUUUUAAGUCAGGGGUGAAAGACGGUGGCUCAACCAUCGCAGUGCCUUUGAUACUGAAGAGCUUGAUUGAACUUGAGGUAGGCGGAAUGUGACAAGUAGCGGUGAAAUGCAUAGAUAUGUCACAGAACACCGAUCGCGAAGGCAGCUUACUAAGGUUUUAAUGACGCUGAGGCACGAAAGCGUGGGGAGCAAACAGG
rnacentral:rRNA from 1 species